AUAGAAGAAACCAUCCAUCUAACCUUUCUAUUUCUCUGGUACUUCCUCACAUCACAACAAACCCCAUCCAUUUCCUUCAAUUACCGUAACCCCUCCCUUCCACUGUUAACAAACAUCACCAACAGUAACCCUCCUUCGCCCAACGUCCGCUUUCCGUUUAUCACCAUCCUCAUCAACCUCAUCUCUAAUCCGUCAUCAAACUCCCUCUCUCUCGCCAAGCAAUUACCAAUUCACCACCACCGAUCCACCACAUCACCAUCGUUCUCCUUCAUCCAUCAUCCCCAACCUUCGCCCAACCUCCACAAAAUUUCUUGUUCUCCGUCACCGAUUCCACCGAAUUCAUCCCUUCAAUUUCUGCCUCUGUUUCUUCUCCAUCAGCGCACGAACCCAACCUCCAUCCAACAAUCCGCUUCAUCUUCAAUCUUCCACCAACAUUCAAUUCAUCACCUUCAAUUUUCCAACAAACCUCAUCAUUAA